GAACGCACAUUGCGCCUUUCGGUAUUCCGGAGGGCAUGCCUGUUCGAGAGUCAUUAACAACCAGUUCAAUCCCUUUUUAAAAACUAUUUGGGGGAUUGGUUAUUGGUGGAUGAGGGGAUGCGUGCAUCACGUUGAAUCACCUCACCACCGAAAUUCAGAGGCGGUUAUGUCCCCACGCGUUUGUGGCGUUGUAAAGGCUUACCAGCACUAUUCGCUCGCAUCGUGGGUGCACUGCUUGCCAUUGGAGAAAUCCCCAUUCAUCAAAGGUUGACCUCGGAUCAGGUAGGGAUACCCGCUGAACUUAAG
rnacentral:misc_RNA from 1 species